GAUGAAGAACGCAGCGAAAUGCGAUACGUAAUGUGAAUUGCAGAAUUCAGUGAAUCAUCGAGUCUUUGAACGCACAUUGCGCCCCCUGGUAUUCCGGGGGGCAUGCCUGUCCGAGCGUCAUUGCUGCCCUCAAGCACGGCUUGUGUGUUGGGCCUCCGUCCUCCUCCCGGGGGGCGGGCCCGAAAGGUAGCGGCGGCACCGCGUCCGGUCCUCGAGCGUAUGGGGCUUCGUCACCCGCUCUUGUAGGCCCGGCCGGCGCUUGCCGACACAUCAAUCUUUUUUCCAGGUUGACCUCGGAUCAGGUAGGGAUACCCGCUGAACUUAAGCAUAUCAAUAAGCGGAGGA
rnacentral:misc_RNA from 1 species